AGCAAACGCUUAUGGACAACACAAAAGACAAACCAGAAAAAAACAACCAAAAAAAAAAAUCCGAUAGACGCAAGAUUGAACAGUACAAGAAAACACCUUUACCAGAUGUUUGAACACAAAGCGAAGCUGGGAAAGCUUACUAAAAAUCCUGGUAGGAGGUUUAUGAUUAAGCAGACAACUCAACUUUCCAGUAAAUCCUCUUUCCCUGCUUCUAGGAGGGAGAGAACAGAGACUCUCAAGUCUAGUUCUCAUAAAUACUGGGUAUACCUGUCCCCAGCAAGUCUCCCUGCAAGGAUCUGCAAGUUCUAAAUUACUAAAGAGUUCUAAACACUAAGGGCUGAUCACAAUUCAGCACCGGUUUCUGACUGAGGAAUGUUUUAUGAACUUCAGUCAGAACUGAGUGUGCGUUUUCAAUGUAAUUCCAAUACAAAAAUGUCACACCAUUUUAUGACCGUAAUCCUCAGACGUUAAAAAUCGUUAUUG